GUACACCUUUUGGGAGAGUUGGGAUCUCAGGAGGAAGGCCUUCCCAGAGAGGCUAGAGCUUGAGCAAUUGGCAAAAUCAGUUUCUCCACUUUCAGGGACCCUCUGCAUCAUUAUUGGACCUGAACCCUUCCUAGUCCUGCAAACAGCUGGUGCCCGAGUGCCUCUGCUUUCCAAAUCCUCUUCAGUAUCCGUAAGAGAAGACGAAGACAUUCAUCUCAUCUCUUCCCUGUCCCCAGGACUGCAGACAGCGGUGGCACAACCACGCAGAGUUGCUGAGCUACACUGGCAGGUUUUCACAGGACAGCAGGCAAGACUGGACAACCCUGGGUUUCAUGUCCUGCUGCUGGAGAUUCUUCAUUCCUACCACCGUUUUCCCCUCAUCCUCCCCUAUCUGAGUUACUAAUACAGUCUCUUGCUUAGUCCCGGAAUUGCAGGCCCAUUUUAUGAGAAAUAGAGGUGACUGAGAAGGAGACCCUUCGAACUGCAUUGGGGAGGAGGGCUCCCCACACUCCCCCUCCUUAAAAUCCUGCAGAGGAAGGGGGAAAGAAAACCAAAGCAUUCUCCUGUCUCCGCGGCAACCAUAAA